rnacentral:rRNA from 1 species
UCCUGGCUCAGGAUGAACGCUAGCGGCAGGCUUAAUACAUGCAAGUCGUGGGGCAGCAGGUUUGUAGCAAUACAGAUGCUGGCGACCGGCAAACGGGUACGGAACACGUACAGAACCUUCCUUUGAGCGGGGAAUAGCCCAGAGAAAUUUGGAUUAAUACCCCCAUAGUAUAAUGAAGUGGCAUCACUUUAUUAUUAAAGAUUUAUCACUCGAAGAUGGCUGUGCGGCUGAUUAGGUAGUUGGCGGGGUAAAGGCCCACCAAGCCUGCGAUCAGUAACUGGUGUGAGAGCACGACCAGUCACACGGGCACUGAGACACGGGCCGACUCCUACGGGAGGCAGCAGUAAGGAAUAUUGGUCAAUGGAGGCAACUCUGAACCAGCCAUGCCGCGUGGAGGAUGAAGGUCCUCUGGAUUGUAAACUUCUUUUAUAUGGGACGAAAAAAGGCUUUUCUAAGUCGUCUGACGGUACCAUAUGAAUAAGCACCGGCUAACUCCGUG